rnacentral:rRNA from 1 species
UCGUGGAUUGAUUUGUCUGGUUAAUUCCGAUAACGAACGAGACCUUAACCUACUAGUUAGUUGCGCAUGGGUUUUACUCAUGUCUUUUGCAACUUCUUAGAGGGACAGCUGGCUUUUAGCCAGAGGAAGUUUGAGGCAAUAACA